AGGGCGCACGGUGGAUGCCUUGGCACUAGGAGCCGACGAAGGACGUGACAAACGACGAUAUGCCUUGGGUAGCUGUAAGUAAGCGAUGAUCCAGGGAUUUCCGAAUGGGGGAACCCAACAGGUAGUACCUGUUACCCACAUCUGUUAAGGAUGUGAGGAGGAAGACGCAGUGAACUGAAACAUCUAAGUAGCUGCAGGAAGAGAAAGCAAAAGCGAUUGCCUUAGUAGCGGCGAGCGAAACGGCAGGAGGGCAAACCGAAGAGUUUACUCUUCGGGGUUGUAGGACUGCAAUGUGGACUCAAAGAUUAUAGAAGAAUGAUUUGGGAAGAUCAGCCAAAGAGAGUAAUAGCCUCGUAUUUAAAAUAGUCUUUGUACCUAGCAGUAUCCUGAGUACGGCGGGACACGUGAAAUCCCGUCGGAAUCUGGGAGGACCAUCUCCCAACCCUAAAUACUCCCUAGUGACCGAUAGUGAACCAGUACCGUGAGGGAAAGGUGAAAAGCACCCCGGGAGGGGAGUGAAAUAGAACCUGAAACCGUGUGCCUACAACAAGUUCGAGCCCGUUAAUGGGUGAGAGCGUGCCUUUUGUAGAAUGAACCGGCGAGUUACGUUAUGAUGCGAGGUUAAGUUGAAGAGACGGAGCCGUAGGGAAACCGAGUCUGAAUAGGGCGCCUUAGUAUCAUGACGUAGACCCGAAACCAUGUGACCUACCCAUGAGCAGGUUGAAGGUGCGGUAAGACGCACUGGAGGACCGAACCAGGGCACGUUGAAAAGUGCUUGGAUGACUUGUGGGUAGCGGAGAAAUUCCAAACGAACUUGGAGAUAGCUGGUUCUCUCCGAAAUAGCUUUAGGGCUAGCGUCGACAUUAGAGAUUCUUGGAGGUAGAGCACUGUUUGGGUGAGGGGUCCAUCCCGGAUUACCAAUCUCAGAUAAACUCCGAAUGCCAAUGAAUUAUGGUCGGCAGUCAGACUGCGAGUGCUAAGAUCCGUAGUCGAAAGGGAAACAGCCCAGACCACCAGCUAAGGUCCCAAAAUAAUUGUUAAGUGGAAAAGGAUGUGGGGUUGCACAGACAACUAGGAUGUUAGCUUAGAAGCAGCUAUUCAUUCAAAGAGUGCGUAAUAGCUCACUAGUCGAGUGACCCUGCGCCGAAAAUGUACCGGGGCUAAAACAAUUUACCGAAGCUGUGGAUACCUUUAUAGGUAUGGUAGGAGAGCGUUCUAUGUGUGAUGAAGGUAUACCGUGAGGAGUGCUGGAACGCAUAGAAGUGAGAAUGCCGGUAUGAGUAGCGAAAGACAGGUGAGAAUCCUGUCCACCGUAAGACUAAGGUUUCCAGGGGAAGGCUCGUCCGCCCUGGGUUAGUCGGGACCUAAGGAGAGACCGAAAGGUGUAUCCGAUGGACAACAGGUUGAUAUUCCUGUACUAGAGUAUGUAGUGAUGGAGGGACGCAGUAGGCUAACUAAAGCAGACGAUUGGAAGAGUCUGUCUAAGCAGUGAGGUGUGAAUUGAGUCAAAUGCUUAAUUCUAUAACAUUGAGCUGUGAUGGGGAGCGAAGUUUAGUAGCGAAGUUAGUGACGUCACACUGCCAAGAAAAGCUUCUAGCGUUUAAACAUACUCUACCCGUACCGCAAACCGACACAGGUAGUCGAGGCGAGUAGCCUCAGGUGAGCGAGAGAACUCUCGUUAAGGAACUCGGCAAAAUGACCCCGUAACUUCGGGAGAAGGGGUGCUGACUUAAAGUCAGCCGCAGUGAAUAGGCCCAAGCAACUGUUUAUCAAAAACACAGCUCUCUGCUAAAUCGUAAGAUGAUGUAUAGGGGGUGACGCCUGCCCGGUGCUGGAAGGUUAAGAGGAGUGCUUAGCGUAAGCGAAGGUAUGAAUUGAAGCCCCAGUAAACGGCGGCCGUAACUAUAACGGUCCUAAGGUAGCGAAAUUCCUUGUCGGGUAAGUUCCGACCCGCACGAAAGGCGUAAUGAUUUGGGCACUGUCUCAACGAGAGACUCGGUGAAAUUUUAGUACCUGUGAAGAUGCAGGUUACCCGCGACAGGACGGAAAGACCCCAUGGAGCUUUACUGCAGUUUGAUAUUGAGUGUCUGUACCACAUGUACAGGAUAGGUAGGAGUCUAAGAGAUCGGGACGCCAGUUUCGAAGGAGACGCUGUUGGGAUACUACCCUUGUGUUAUGGCCACUCUAACCCAGAUAGGUGAUCCCUAUCGGAGACAGUGUCUGACGGGCAGUUUGACUGGGGCGGUCGCCUCCUAAAAGGUAACGGAGGCGCCCAAAGGUUCCCUCAGAAUGGUUGGAAAUCAUUCGCAGAGUGUAAAGGUAUAAGGGAGCUUGACUGCGAGAG
rnacentral:rRNA from 1 species